rnacentral:rRNA from 2 species
GGGUUGUGAGGUUAAGCGACUAAGCGUACACGGUGGAUGCCCUGGCAGUCAGAGGCGAUGAAGGGCGUGCUAAUCUGCGAUAAGCGCCGGUAAGGUGAUAUGAACCGUUAUAACCGGCGAUACCCGAAUGGGGAAACCCAGUGUGACUCGUCACACUAUCAUUAACUGAAUCCAUAGGUUAAUGAGGCGAACCGGGGGAACUGAAACAUCUAAGUACCCCGAGGAAAAGAAAUCAACCGAGAUUCCCCCAGUAGCGGCGAGCGAACGGGGAGGAGCCCAGAGCCUGAAUCAGCAUAUGUGUUAGUGGAAGCGUCUGGAAAGGCGCGCGAUACAGGGUGACAGCCCCGUACACAAAAGCGCAUGUGCUGUGAGCUCGAUGAGUAGGGCGGGACACGUGGUAUCCUGUCUGAAUAUGGGGGGACCAUCCUCCAAGGCUAAAUACUCCUGACUGACCGAUAGUGAACCAGUACCGUGAGGGAAAGGCGAAAAGAACCCCGGCGAGGGGAGUGAAAAAGAACCUGAAACCGUGUACGUACAAGCAGUGGGAGCACCCUUUGGGGUGUGACUGCGUACCUUUUGUAUAAUGGGUCAGCGACUUAUAUUCUGUAGCAAGGUUAACCGAAUAGGGGAGCCGGAGGGAAACCGAGUCUUAAUUGGGCGUUAAGUUGCAGGGUAUAGACCCGAAACCCGGUGAUCUAGCCAUGGGCAGGUUGAAGGUUGGGUAACACUAACUGGAGGACCGAACCGACUAAUGUUGAAAAAUUAGCGGAUGACCUGUGGCUGGGGGUGAAAGGCCAAUCAAACCGGGAGAUAGCUGGUUCUCCCCGAAAGCUAUUUAGGUAGCGCCUCGUGAAUUCAUCUCCGGGGGUAGAGCACUGUUUCGGCUAGGGGGCCAUCCCGGCUUACCAACCCGAUGCAAACUGCGAAUACCGGAGAAUGUUAUCACGGGAGACACACGGCGGGUGCUAACGUCCGUCGUGAAGAGGGAAACAACCCAGACCGCCAGCUAAGGUCCCAAAGUCAUGGUUAAGUGGGAAACGAUGUGGGAAGGCCCAGACAGCCAGGAUGUUGGCUUAGAAGCAGCCAUCAUUUAAAGAAAGCGUAAUAGCUCACUGGUCGAGUCGGCCUGCGCGGAAGAUGUAACGGGGCUAAACCAUGCACCGAAGCUGCGGCAGCGACGCUGAUGCGUUGUUGGGUAGGGGAGCGUUCUGUAAGCCUGCGAAGGUGGCCUGUGAGGGUUGCUGGAGGUAUCAGAAGUGCGAAUGCUGACAUAAGUAACGAUAAAGCGGGUGAAAAGCCCGCUCGCCGGAAGACCAAGGGUUCCUGUCCAACGUUAAUCGGGGCAGGGUGAGUCGACCCCUAAGGCGAGGCCGAAAGGCGUAGUCGAUGGGAAACGGGUUAAUAUUCCCGUACUUGGUGUUACUGCGAAGGGGGGACGGAGAAGGCUAUGUUGGCCGGGCGACGGUUGUCCCGGUUUAAGCGUGUAGGUGUGUGUUCCAGGUAAAUCCGGUUCACUUUAACACUGAGGCGUGAUGACGAGGCACUACGGUGCUGAAGCAACAAAUGCCCUGCUUCCAGGAAAAGCCUCUAAGCAUCAGGUAACAUCAAAUCGUACCCCAAACCGACACAGGUGGUCAGGUAGAGAAUACCAAGGCGCUUGAGAGAACUCGGGUGAAGGAACUAGGCAAAAUGGUGCCGUAACUUCGGGAGAAGGCACGCUGACACGUAGGUGAAGUGAUUUACUCAUGGAGCUGAAGUCAGUCGAAGAUACCAGCUGGCUGCAACUGUUUAUUAAAAACACAGCACUGUGCAAACACGAAAGUGGACGUAUACGGUGUGACGCCUGCCCGGUGCCGGAAGGUUAAUUGAUGGGGUCAGCGCAAGCGAAGCUCCUGAUCGAAGCCCCGGUAAACGGCGGCCGUAACUAUAACGGUCCUAAGGUAGCGAAAUUCCUUGUCGGGUAAGUUCCGACCUGCACGAAUGGCGUAAUGAUGGCCAGGCUGUCUCCACCCGAGACUCAGUGAAAUUGAACUCGCUGUGAAGAUGCAGUGUACCCGCGGCAAGACGGAAAGACCCCGUGAACCUUUACUAUAGCUUGACACUGAACAUUGAGCCUUGAUGUGUAGGAUAGGUGGGAGGCUUUGAAGUGUGGACGCCAGUCUGCAUGGAGCCGGCCUUGAAAUACCACCCUUUAAUGUUUGAUGUUCUAACGUGGACCCGUGAUCCGGGUUGCGGACAGUGUCUGGUGGGUAGUUUGACUGGGGCGGUCUCCUCCUAAAGAGUAACGGAGGAGCACGAAGGUUGGCUAAUCCUGGUCGGACAUCAGGAGGUUAGUGCAAUGGCAUAAGCCAGCUUGACUGCGAGCGUGACGGCGCGAGCAGGUGCGAAAGCAGGUCAUAGUGAUCCGGUGGUUCUGAAUGGAAGGGCCAUCGCUCAACGGAUAAAAGGUACUCCGGGGAUAACAGGCUGAUACCGCCCAAGAGUUCAUAUCGACGGCGGUGUUUGGCACCUCGAUGUCGGCUCAUCACAUCCUGGGGCUGAAGUAGGUCCCAAGGGUAUGGCUGUUCGCCAUUUAAAGUGGUACGCGAGCUGGGUUUAGAACGUCGUGAGACAGUUCGGUCCCUAUCUGCCGUGGGCGCUGGAGAACUGAGGGGGGCUGCUCCUAGUACGAGAGGACCGGAGUGGACGCAUCACUGGUGUUCGGGUUGUCAUGCCAAUGGCACUGCCCGGUAGCUAAAUGCGGAAGAGAUAAGUGCUGAAAGCAUCUAAGCACGAAACUUGCCCCGAGAUGAGUUCUCCCUGAGACUUAGAGUCUCCUGAAGGAACGUUGAAGACGACGACGUUGAUAGGCCGGGUGUGUAAGCGCAGCGAUGCGUUGAGCUAACCGGUACUAAUGAACCGUGAGGCUUAACCUUACAACGCCGAAG